ensembl:rRNA n-R5s161 nuclear encoded rRNA 5S 161
AUCUACAGACAAACCACCCUGAACACGCCCAAUCUUGUCUGAUCUAGGAAGCAGGGUCGGGCCUGGUUAGUACUUGGAUGGGAGACCAUCUGGAAAUACUGGGUGCUGUAGGCU